UACGUAGGGGGCAAGCGUUGUCCGGAAUCAUUGGGCGUAAAGAGCGUGUAGGCGGCCUGGUAAGUCCGCUGUGAAAGUCCAGGGCUCAACCCUGGAAUGCCGGUGGAAACUGUCAGGCUCGAGUCCGGAAGAGGCGAGUGGAAUUCCUGGUGUAGCGGUGAAAUGCGCAGAUAUCAGGAGGAACACCAAUGGCGAAGGCAGCUCGCUGGGACGGUACUGACGCUGAUGCACGAAAGCUAGGGGAGCAAACAGG
rnacentral:rRNA from 1 species